rnacentral:tRNA from 1 species
UGGGGCUUAGUUAAAGAAUAAUAUUGGUCUGUCUAACCAAAGUUGUGAUACGCACACAGCCCUAU